GAUGAACGCUGGCGGCGUGCCUAAUACAUGCAAGUCGAGCGAACGGACGAGAAGCUUGCUUCUCUGAUGUUGGCGGCGGACGGGUGAGUAACACGUGGAUAACCUACCUAUAAGACUGGGAUAACUUCGGGAAACCGGAGCUAAUACCGGAUGAUAUUUUGAACCGCAUGGUUCAAAAGUGAAAGACGGUCUUGCUGUCACUUAUAGAUGGAUCCGCGCUGCAUUAGCUAGUUGGUAAGGUAACAGCUUACCAAGGCAACGAUGCAUAGCCGACCUGAGAGGGUGAUCGGCCACACUGGAACUGAGACACGGUCCAGACUCCUACGGGAGGCAGCAGUAGGGAAUCUUCCGCAAUGGGCGAAAGCCUGACGGAGCAACGCCGCGUGAGUGAUGAAGGUCUUCGGAUCGUAAAACUCUGUUAUUAGGGAAGAACAUAUGUGUAAGUAACUGUGCACAUCUUGACGGUACCUAAUCAGAAAGCCACGGCUAACUACGUG
rnacentral:rRNA from 1 species